GAUGAACGCUGACAGAAUGCUUAACACAUGCAAGUCUUUGGCGAAGCUGUGCUCGCACAGCCUAGCCAAGGCGGACGGGUGAGUAACGCGUAAGGAACUUGCCCUGCAGUCAGGGAUAACAGACGGAAACGACUGAUAAGACCUGGUAAAGUCAGGCGGACUCAUGUCCAGCCUGAUGAAAAGAGAUGCUGCAGGAGAGCCUUGCGUCCUAUUAGCUUGUUGGUGGGGUAACGGCCCACCAAGGCGAUGAUAGGUAGCCGGCCUGAGAGGGUGGACGGCCACAAGGGGACUGAGGUACGGCCCUUACUCCUACGGGAGGCAGCAGUGGGGAAUAUUGGACAAUGGGGGCAACCCUGAUCCAGCAAUUCUGUGUGCACGAUGAAGGUUUUCGGAUUGUAAAGUGCUUUCAGCAGGGAAGAAAAAAAUGACGGUACCUGCAGAAGAAGCGACGGCUAAAUACGUG
rnacentral:rRNA from 1 species